UGUAGCUCAAGUGGUAGAGCAUAUGCUUAGCAUGCAUGAGGCCCUGGGUUCAAUCCCCAAUA
rnacentral:tRNA from 1 species